CUCAGUAACACGUGGAUAACCUGCCCUUAGGACUGGCAUAACCCCGGGAAACUGGGGAUAAUUCCGGAUAGUUCAUGGUAGCUGGAAUGCUCCAUGAUCGAAAGCUAUUGCGCCUAAGGAUGGGUCUGCGGUCUAUCAGGUAGUAGUGGGUGUAAUGUACUUACUAGCCGACGACGGAUACGGGUUGUGGGAGCAAGAGCCCGGAGGUGGAUUCUGAGACAUGAAUCCAGGCCCUACGGGGCGCAGCAGGCGCGAAAACUUUACAAUGCGGGAAACCGCGAUAAGGGGACACCGAGUGCCAGCAUCUUAUGUUGGCUGUCCGCAUGUAUAAAUCACAUGUGUUAGCAAGGGCCGGGCAAGACCGGUGCCAGCCGCCGCGGUAACACCGGCGGCCCGAGUGGUGGCCACUAUUAUUGGGUCUAAAGGGUCCGUAGCCGGUUUGGUCAGUCUUCCGGGAAAUCUGACGGCUUAACCGUUAGGCUUUCGGGGGAUACUACCAGGCUUGGGACCGGGAGAGGUAAGAGGUACUACGGGGGUAGGAGUGAAAUCUUGUAAUCCUCGU
rnacentral:rRNA from 1 species